UACGGAGGGGGCUAGCGUUGUUCGGAAUUACUGGGCGUAAAGCGCGCGUAGGCGGACCUGCAAGUCGGGUGUGAAAGCCCGAGGCUCAACCUCGGAACUGCCUUCGAUACUGCGGGUCUCGAGUCCGGGAGAGGUGAGUGGAAUUCCUAGUGUAGAGGUGAAAUUCGUAGAUAUUAGGAAGAACACCAGUGGCGAAGGCGGCUCACUGGCCCGGUUCUGACGCUGAGGUGCGAAAGCGUGGGGAGCAAACAGG
rnacentral:rRNA from 1 species